AUUGAACGCUGGCGGCAUGCCUAACACAUGCAAGUCGAACGGUAACAGGCCUUCGGGCGCUGACGAGUGGCGGACGGGUGAGUAAUGCAUGGGAAUCUGCCUGUUAGUGGGGGACAACCCGGGGAAACUCGGGCUAAUACCGCAUACGCCCUACGGGGGAAAGUGGGGGACCGCAAGGCCUCACGCUAACAGAUGAGCCCAUGUCGGAUUAGCUAGUUGGUAGGGUAAAGGCCUACCAAGGCGACGAUCCGUAGCUGGUCUGAGAGGACGACCAGCCACACUGGGACUGAGACACGGCCCAGACUCCUACGGGUGGCAG
rnacentral:rRNA from 1 species